rnacentral:rRNA from 1 species
GUAAUGUCUGGGAAGCUGCUCGAUGGAGGGGGGUAACUACUGGAAACGGGGGCUAAUACCGCAUAAUGUCGCAAGACCAAAGAGGGGGACCUUCGGGCCUCUUGCCAUCGGAUGUGCCCAGAUGGGAUUAGCUAGUAGGUGGGGUAACGGCUCACCUAGGCGACGAUCCCUAGCUGGUCUGAGAGGAUGACCAGCCACACUGGAACUGAGACACGGUCCAG